rnacentral:rRNA from 1 species
GACGAACGCUGGCGGCGUGCUUAACACAUGCAAGUCGAACGGAAAGGCCCUGCUUUUGCGUGGUUCUCGUGUGCCGAACGGGUGAGUAACACGUGAGUAACCUGCCCUUGUCUUUGGGAUAACUUCAGGAAACUGGGGCUCAUACCGGAUAGGAGCUCCUGCUGCAUGGUGGGGGUUGGAAAGUUUCGGCGGUUGUGGAUGGACUGGCGGCUUAUGAGCUUGUUGGUGGGGUAGUGGCUUACCAAGGUUUUGACGGGUAGCCGGCCUGAGAGGGUUACCGGCCACAUUGGGACUGAGAGACGGCCCAGAAGCCUACGGGAGGCAGCAGUGGGGAAUAUUGCAGAAUGGGCGGAAGCCUGAUGCAGCAACGCCGCGUGCGGGAUGACGGCCUUCGGGUUGUAAACCGCUGUCGCAUGUGCCGAAGCGUGCGUGACGGUAAUGGGUAAAGAAGCACCGGCUAACUACGUG